CAGUCGCCGCGGUAAUACAGAGGGUGCGAGCGUUAAUCGUAUUUACUGGGCGUAAAGCGUGCGUAGGCGGCUUCUUAAGUCGGAUGUGAAAUCCCUGAGCUUAACUUAGGAAUUGCAUUCGAUACUGGGAAGCUAGAGUAUGGGAGAGGAUGGUAGAAUUCCAGGUGUAGCGGUGAAAUGCGUAGAGAUCUGGAGGAAUACCGAUGGCGAAGGCAGCCAUCUGGCCUAAUACUGACGCUGAGGUACGAAAGCAUGGGGAGCAAACAGGAUUAGAUACCCCCGUAGUCCCUGUCUCUUAUAC
rnacentral:rRNA from 1 species